rnacentral:rRNA from 1 species
AUGGAUCAGCUUGACGAGCAGUCCUUCCUCGACGAGCUCAUGUCGCUGCGCCGGGAGGAGGCGCCGGCGCCGGCUCCGGCUCCGACUCCGUGGCAGGCCUCGGAGAUGACCAGGGGUGUCUUCUCCGGAGCCCACCCUAGAAGCAAGCUCAACGGCGGCACCACGUCCAAGAACCUCAUGGCGGAAAGGCGGCGCCGGAAGCGUCUCAACGACCGCCUCUCCAUGCUCCGCUCCAUCGUGCCCAAAAUUAUCAAGAUGGAUAGGACCUCGAUCCUCGGGGACACCAUAGACUACGUGAAUGAGCUAACCGAGCGGAUCAAAACCCUUGAGGAGGAGAUCGGCGCCACGCCGGAGGAGCUGAACCUGCUGAACACGAGCAAGUUUGAAGUCUAUAUGUUCUUUCAUUUGAGAGAAACAAAAAAGAGAAAUCUUUUUAUUGUAAGUUAG